rnacentral:rRNA from 1 species
UACGUAGGGUGCAAGCGUUGUCCGGAAUUAUUGGGCGUAAAGAGCUCGUAGGCGGCUUGUCGCGUCGAGCGUGAAAACUUGGGGCUCAACCCCAAGCCUGCGGUCGAUACGGGCAGGCUCGAGUUCGGUAGGGGAGACUGGAAUUCCUGGUGUAGCGGUGAAAUGCGCAGAUAUCAGGAGGAACACCGAUGGCGAAGGCAGGUCUCUGGGCCGAUACUGACGCUGAGGAGCGAAAGCGUGGGGAGCGAACAGG